CAAAGUCAGCAGGGCUGGUAGCAAAUGGCAUUUUGCGUGUAAGGGGGCAGGUGUGGUUGUAUCCAGCUGGAAUACAGCAUCAACACUCACAUGAAUUAUGCACACAAAACAUGAUCGGGAAGCAGUCAGUUUUAAGAAGGAGUUGGCAGUUUUAAUCAGGCUAAUAGGAUAAGCCUUUUUUCACACUUCCUCCUCGCUCCUGCCAUUUGGAAGUAUUUUCCCUCCCCGAAUUGAAUCUUUUGAGAACUGCGGCAGGAGUUUUAGUGCCUACUAGCUGCAGAGUUGCUGGGGAAAAUGUGUGAAAGGGGAACGUAGGAAGACAGGAAGAGGGAAGAGGGGAAGAGAGGACGCCUACAGUAGACGACAUGCAGAAGGAGAUACUUAUUGCAUGCAAGCCAAUGCAGAAGGAUACAGAGAAAAAGCCUCAGGACAAAAGGCUGCCUGACACAUCAAGAUCAAAAUAUCCUUACAUUGUAUGUAUCUAUGUACGUAUGUAUGUAUGUAUGUAUGUAUGUAUUUAUUUAUUUAUUUUUAGGGCAUUUGUUUACACUGUGGAAAAUGCUGUAAAUUGAAUACAUUGUAAGCUUGGAGUGCUGGCUACAGUAGCUUUAGCAUUACAGCAUGGUUUGUAGCACUGUUGCACGUCUACUCCUACUACAAUUAUGUAAUCUGUCUGAUCCUAAAAGGGUCUAUGCAUGAUAUUCAGCUUGGGAGUCAGUCUAAUGAAUCCGUUUUUAUUCAUGGGCAAGAGGGGCUCCUACUUUCCUCACUAAUUUCUGUGACCUUUAUGAACAGAAUAACACUCCAUUGUUCAACCAUAUGGCAAAAUAAUUGAAUCAAUUCCAUUGCUGUAACAAUGCACAAUGUUUUUCCAAGCAAGAUGAAUCUAGAAAAUAAAUAAAGCAGGAAAUGACAAACAAGCAAAAUGUAGUCCAAGGAUGAACUCUAACAUCACAUUGAUUAAUAGAGCAACAUGUGUAAGUUUAACCUGAUGUUGUUAAGGUAAGUGAUUGAUAAUCAUACUACAAAUUACAAGUAUAACCACAAUCCUGAAGUCUAUUUAUGUUGCAGCUAAUUACACUAAAACCAAACAAUAGCAGAAGAGUUAUUUGAUUUGCUCCAUUGAUCCAGUGAGAUGCUUAAAACAGACAUCCAUGUAUGUAUUUUCUAAAUCCAUAAUUGAUGCCUGUUUCAAAUUAUAUUGACAUUUCCUUAAAGGAGACUUAAAGUUGCUGUGAGUUAAUAGCACGUAAAUGAAACGUUAUUUCAUUUGUUUGUGUUAAUCACAUGGAAGUCAAAGGGUUUACCCCACUCCAAUAGCUUUAAUGCUUUACUUUUUGUUAAUAUUAAUAUUGAUAUGUUCCUGUAUUAAGCACGAGAGAUUAAUGCCAUCUUAUUGACUAAAAAAAUGCACCCCUUCACUGUCUUUUGGUUUAUAAAAUUAACAUUAAAUAUGAAGAAAUGUGUCACUGUAUGUUCCAGACCAUGACGCAUAUUCAAGCUGACUACCCAGCUAUAUACGUAUUUAUAACACGUAAGAAAAUAUGGGCAAAAUGCUGCACUAGAAGCAUGAGAAGUAACUUCUUGUUGCUUUGUUGAUUCUUAGUAUGAUAUCUGAUGAUAUGUUGAAGCAUGGUAAUGAGAGAUGUUUCAGGCAGCUGUUCCUUUCUGGAUUGUUUUUUUUUUUAAUCCAAGAAUGUCCCCCAUUCAUGUACCUGAGAAGGAAAGGGGGCAGGGGGGGGCUUCACGUUGGCGAAUACCGAGGGGACGGAUUUGACAGAUGCUUUUGCCAAUGACCACAUGCCCCAAAUAGCAGAGGUGCUGAACUGCAGAUUUAGGCUUUUCCCCCCAACAGCCCCAAAUGAAGGUACGGGGGGGGGACCUCUGGACAAAGGUUGUGCUGAGAGUGGAGAGGGGCCAUGGUGCUGCCGUAAAAGUUUAAUUUAUGAUGGAUGAUUGCGGGAUAAAGGUCGCGGUGUGAUAAAUAUGGGAGCGUUUGUCUGGGGAGCUCAUCAAUAACGUUGCAGCUACCAUAUUUCGAUCUGGCGCCGAAAUGGAUAUUUUUGAUGUAGGAAAACUAUCUUUCAGAAAACGCGGAUGUAUUAAUCAAAGGGGAGGCAUCAGCUACCCAGUAUUGUAGCCCAGAAAAAAGAUGGGCCUCAUUAGCAGUAGUUACAUCUUUUGCUCUUUAAUCGCAAGAUAAAUCCUACAGCCAGCUUACUCAGUUUCAGCUGCUAUCUUUCAGUCCUUUUUGUUUAUACAUGUUAACAUGUUACUUGGUUCCCACACAAUAAAGUCUGAGCAAGUUAUAAACAAAUGUAUUAGCUCUGAAAGAAAUCUCGUUG